GACGAACGCUGGCGGCGUGCUUAACACAUGCAAGUCGAACGGAAAGGCCCUGCUUUUGUGGGGUGCUCGAGUGGCGAACGGGUGAGUAACACGUGAGUAACCUGCCCUUGACUUUGGGAUAACUUCAGGAAACUGGGGCUAAUACCGGAUAGGAGCUCCUGCUGCAUGGUGGGGGUUGGAAAGUUUCGGCGGUUGGGGAUGGACUCGCGGCUUAUCAGCUUGUUGGUGGGGUAGUGGCUUACCAAGGCUUUGACGGGUAGCCGGCCUGAGUGGGUGACCGGCCUCAUUGGGACUGAGAUACGGCCCAGACUCCUACGGGAGGCAGCAGUGGGGAAUAUUGCACAAUGGGCGGAAGCCUGAUGCAGCAACGCCGCGUGCGGGAUGACGGCCUUCGGGUUGUAAACCGCUUUCGCCUGUGACGAAGCGUGAGUGACGGUAAUGGGUAAAGAAGCACCGGCUAACUACGUG
rnacentral:rRNA from 1 species